GUUUCGGCUCGUAAAGCUCUGUUGUUAAAGAAGAACGUGGGUAAGAGUAACUGUUUACCCAGUGACGGUAUUUAACCAGAAAGCCACGGCUAACUACGUGCCAGCAGCCGCGGUAAUACGUAGGUGGCAAGCGUUAUCCGGAUUUAUUGGGCGUAAAGCGAGCGCAGGCGGUCUUUUAAGUCUAAUGUGAAAGCCUUCGGCUCAACCGAAGAAGUGCAUUGGAAACUGGGAGACUUGAGUGCAGAAGAGGACAGUGGAACUCCAUGUGUAGCGGUGAAAUGCGUAGAUAUAUGGAAGAACACCAGUGGCGAAGGCGGCUGUCUGGUCUGCAACUGACGCUGAGGCUCGAAAGCAUGGGUAGCGAACAGGAUUAGAUACCCUGGUAGUCCAUGCCGUAAACGAUGAUUACUAAGUGUUGGAGGGUUUCCGCCCUUCAGUGCUGCAGCUAACGCAUUAAGUAAUCCGCCUGGGGAGUACGACCGCAAGGUUGAAACUCAAAAGAAUUGACGGGGGCCCGCACAAGCGGUGGAGCAUGUGGUUUAAUUCGAAGCUACGCGAAGAACCUUACCAGGUCUUGACAUCUUCUGACAGUCUAAGAGAUUAGAGGUUCCCUUCGGGGACAGAAUGACAGGUGGUGCAUGGUUGUCGUCAGCUCGUGUCGUGAGAUGUUGGGUUAAGUCCCGCAACGAGCGCAACCCUUAUUACUAGUUGCCAGCAUUAAGUUGGGCACUCUAGUGAGACUGCCGGUGACAAACCGGAGGAAGGUGGGGACGACGUCAAAUCAUCAUGCCCCUUAUGACCUGGGCUACACACGUGCUACAAUGGAUGGUACAACGAGUCGCGAGACCGCGAGGUUAAGCUAAUCUCUUAAAACCAUUCUCAGUUCGGACUGUAGGCUGCAACUCGCCUACACGAAGUCGGAAUCGCUAGUAAUCGCGGAUCAGCAUGCCGCGGUGAAUACGUUCCCGGGCCUUGUACACACCGCCCGUCACACCAUGAGAGUUUGUAACACCCAAAG
rnacentral:rRNA from 1 species